UACGGAGGGGGCUAGCGUUAUUCGGAAUUACUGGGCGUAAAGCGCACGUAGGCGGAUUGGAAAGUCAGAGGUGAAAUCCCAGGGCUCAACCUUGGAACUGCCUUUGAAACUCCCAGUCUUGAGGUCGUGAGAGGUGAGUGGAAUUCCGAGUGUAGAGGUGAAAUUCGUAGAUAUUCGGAGGAACACCAGUGGCGAAGGCGGCUCACUGGCACGAUUCUGACGCUGAGGUGCGAAAGAGUGGGGAGCAAACAGG
rnacentral:rRNA from 1 species